rnacentral:rRNA from 1 species
AUUGAACGCUGGCGGCAGGCCUAACACAUGCAAGUCGAACGAGUGGCGGACGGGUGAGUAAUGUCUGGGAAACUGCCCGAUGGAGGGGGAUAACUACUGGAAACGGUAGCUAAUACCGCAUACCAUCGGAUGUGCCCCGAUGGGAUUAGCUUGGAGGUGAGGUAACGGCUCACCUAGGCGACGCUCCCUAGCUGGUCUGAGAGGAUGACCAGCCAAACUGGAACUGAGACACGGGCCAGACUCCUACGGGAGUCAGCAGGGGGGAAUAUUGCGAAAUGUGCGCAAUCCUGAUGCAGCCAUGGCGCGUGUAUGAAGAAGGACUUCGGGUUGUAAAGUACUUUCAGCGGGGAGGCGGUACCCGCAGAAGAAGCACCGGCUAACUCCGUGCCAGCAGCCGCGGUAAUUC